GUCUCCUGUAGCUAAGUGAUUGGAGCAUCCGCCAUGUGCGUGGAAGGUCAUGGGUUCGACUCCCAUCGGGGACU